UCCAAUGUGGUGUAGCGGUUUAGCAUAUCUGUCUUUCACACAGAAGAUCGGGGUUCGAUUCCCCGCAUUGGAG